UUAUGGCUCAGAAUGAACGUGGGCGGCGUGGAUUAGGCAUGCAAGUCGAGCGAGAAGUGUAGCAAUACACGGAAAGCGGCGAAAGGGAGAGUAAUGCGUAGGUACCUACCCCUGGGACCGGGAUAGCGGCGGGAAACUGCCAUUAAUACCGGAUAACGUCCCCGGACCAAAGGUGUGAUUCCGCCCGUGGAGGGGCCUACGUCCUAUCAGCUAGUUGGCAGGGUAAUGGCCUACCAAGGCAUUGACGGGUAGCGGGUGUGAGAGCACGAUCCGCCUCACUGGGACUGAGACACUGCCCAGACACCUACGGGUGGCUGCAGUCGAGAAUCUUCCGCAAUGGGCGAAAGCCUGACGGAGCGACGCCGCGUGCGGGAUGAAGGCCUUCGGGUUGUAAACCGCUGUCAGUGGGGAGGAAAUGCACGGGGGUUCUCCCUCGUGUUCGACCGAUCCGCAGAGGAAGCACAGGCUAAGUUCGUGCCAGCAGCCGCGGUAACACGAACUGUGCAAACGUUAUUCGGAAUUACUGGGCUUAAAGAGUUCGUAGGCGGCUUGUUAAGUCGGGUGUGAAAUCCCUUGUCUCAACCAAGGAAUUGCGCUCGAAACUGGCGGGCUUGAGUGAGAUAGAGGUGAGCGGAACUGAUGGUGGAGCGGUGAAAUGCGUUGAUAUCAUCAGGAACACCGGUGGCGAAGGCGGCUCACUGGGUCUUUACUGACGCUGAGGAACGAAAGCUAGGGGAGCGAACGGGAUUAGAUACCCCGGUAGUCCUAGCUGUAAACGAUGAGCACUGGACUGAGCGGACCUCCACAUCCGCCCGGUCGUAGCGAAAGCGUUAAGUGCUCCGCC
rnacentral:rRNA from 1 species